GGGGGGACAGGGUGACAGGUGGUGCAUGGUUGUCGUCAGCUCGUGUCGUGAGAUGUUGGGUUAAGUCCCGCAACGAGCGCAACCCUCGACCUUAGUUGCCAGCAUUCAGUUGGGCACUCUAAGGUGACUGCCGGCUAAAAGUCGGAGGAAGGUGGGGAUGACGUCAAAUCAUCAUGCCCCUUAUGACCUGGGCUACACACGUGCUACAAUGGGCGGUACAAAGGGUCGCGAACCCGCGAGGGGGAGCCAAUCCCAAAAAGCCGCUCUCAGUUCGGAUUGCAGGCUGCAACUCGCCUGCAUGAAGCCGGAAUCGCUAGUAAUCGCGGAUCAGCAUGCCGCGGCGAAUACGUUCCCGGGCCUU
rnacentral:rRNA from 1 species